rnacentral:rRNA from 1 species
AUUGAACGCUGGCGGCAUGCCUUACACAUGCAAGUCGAACGGCAGCACGGGAGCAAUCCUGGUGGCGAGUGGCGAACGGGUGAGUAAUAUAUCGGAACGUGCCCAGUCGUGGGGAUAACGUAGCGAAAGCUACGCUAAUACCGCAUACGAUCUAUGGAUGAAAGCGGGGGAGUCGCAAGACCUCGCGCGAUUGGAGCGGCCGAUAUCAGAUUAGGUAGUUGGUGAGGUAAAGGACUCACCAAGCCGACGAUCUGUAGCUGGUCUGAGAGGACGACCAGCCACACUGGGACUGAGACACGGCCCAGACUCCUACGGGAGGCAGCAGUGGGGAAUUUUGGACAAUGGGCGGCAAGCCUGAUCCAGCAAUGCCGCGUGCAGGAUGAAGGCCUCGGUUGUAACUAGUACUUUGUUUACGGUAACGG